UUGAAGGUUUGACCUGCCCGCUGAUUAUUUGAAUGGCCGCGGUAUUUUGACCGUGCAAAGGUAGCAUAAUAAUUAGUUUCUUGAUUGGAAGCUGGAAUGAAUGGUUGGACGAGAAAAUUACUGUCUCUGGCAAAUUUUAAAUAAAAUUUUAUUUUUAAGUUAAAAAGCUUAAAUUUUUUUAAAAGACGAGAAGACCCUAUAGAGUUUAAUAUUAUUAAUUUGUUACAAAUUUAGGUAUUUAAGUUUUCUCUGGUUAUUAAUAUUUUAUUGGGGUGAUAAAAGGAUUGAGUUAACUCCUUUUUAAUUAAUACAUUAAUUUAUGAUUAUUUGAUCCAAUUUUUUUGAUUAUAAGAAUAAAUUACCUUAGGGAUAACAGCGUAAUCUUUUUAGAGAGUUCUUAUCGAAAUGAAGGGUUGCGACCUCGAUGUUGGAUUAAAGUUUAUUUUUGGUGUAGAAGCUAAAAUAUUGAGUCUGUUCGACUUUUAAAACUUUACAUGAUCUGAGUUUAAACCGGUGUGAGCCAGGUUGGUUUCUAUCUUUAUAAUAAGAAAAUAUUUUAGUACGAAAGGACCAA
rnacentral:rRNA from 1 species